AAAAUAGCCCCAAGACCUACAAAUAAGGUGGCCAGCAUUUUCUCCAAUAUGAAACACAAACUCAGACCAGGUCAAUGUUCGAAUGUGGUGUAUAACAUUCCUUGUCGGAACUGCCCCAGAAGCUACGUAGGAUGCACGUGUCGCCGGCUCGAUGACAGGGAUGUAGAACAUAAGAAAGACGUGGAAAACAUGGCCAAGAACAACAAAAAAACUGCACUGGUCUACCAUGUGUCCACCAAGAAACAUCAAUUUGAUUUUGCGAACAAAGAAAUUCUGAAAAAAGUCCGGUCAAAACGAACGAUCAAAAUACAUGAAGCGAACAAAAUCAUUCUUAAAGGAAAUUCAGCUGUGAACUUCAGAAAAGAUGCAGCUCAUGUAUCGCCAAUGUUCUACAAUCUGAUCGUGAAUAGUGGAAAACGCCGCCAUGUGAACCCCCCUCGAAGACGGAAUGAUGAAAUGAAUCUGCAACAGAUGUUUGAGUGACAGGUGAAAUUGUCAAGUGACAAACAUAAACAAACGAGACUGUAAGCAAGUGAUAAGGAAAAACCAAGAAAUUGAUUAAGUUUGUUUACAACCUAGUAGUAAGCCCUUGAAGAUGACUGGUCACACAGUCGAAAGCUAGGCUAAAAUUUGGUCACAUCAACUUUUGGAGUUUUAAUUUUGUCGAAUCCAGGCGAUACAACGCAAUAUCCAAUUACAAAGAUAAAUUUUUUUAAAUAAUUUAUGCAUGGAAAAGACUUACGAAUCUAUUCUAUUAGUGCAGUACAUUGUGUCAAUCUAAUGAGAGAUGCUAAUAUUACGACUGGAACAUCGUUUCGCCGGAGAAUAUGUCGAAUGACAGCUGGUUUUUUGAGAGAGAAUUCAAUACAUUUUCUCACGACCAAAUUCAAAAUCAUUCGACAUCUGAAGUCAGUGCCUUUCGCAUAAUGUCUGGCAAUAAGGAAUGAUGAAUUGUGAUGGAAUGGGCUCUAUUUACUUUAAAAAGGACAUAAAUAACAAAACAAAACUCUGAUAAAAAAUGCGUAAAAUCAAUAGGUUCCCGAGCUGGGAAGACGUUGGAACGUCAGGAAGAGCGCUUCACUAAUGAAUUGUUAAUUGUGCAUAAAUGUUGUAUUAUAAAACGUUUGCUGUGGACGGGCAUCCACAGCAUCCAGAGCUAUGUUUGUGGCCAGAAAUCAAGCCAAAAAUGUUGAUGGCCGACUAUUCUACAAAUCUACUCAGGAAAUAUUAAUCUCCUGUCGCUAUUCGGCCCAAGGUUAGAGCCAAACCACAUCUAAGACAAGGUUCUGGAAGAAAAGGUUAAGACAACUCUGAGUUGAACUCGAAAGCGCUGACACACAAAUUGAGUUCAACGGCUAUGAAAAUUAUAUGGAAAAGGCAACUUAACAAAAAUUAAAUUCCGAAUUUUCCUAAAAAACAUUUUCUUCGAGUUGAUUUCACACACAAUCUGAGUGCGUUUGUCGAUUUCGGUGUCAUCCGUCUUCGUGGCUGUCUUUUAGAACUUUG